UACAGAGGUCCCGAGCGUUGUUCGGAGUUACUGGGCGUAAAGGGUGUGUAGGCGGUUGUUUAAGUUUGGUGUGAAAUCUCCCGGCUCAACUGGGAGGGUGCGCCGAAUACUGAAUGACUUGGAGUGCGGGAGAGGUGAGUGGAAUUCCUGGUGUAGCGGUGAAAUGCGUAGAUAUCAGGAGGAACACCGGUGGUGUAGACGGCUCACUGGACCGUAACUGACGCUGAGACACGAAAGCGUGGGUAGCAAACAGG
rnacentral:rRNA from 1 species